GUCGCGGCCUAUCAGCUUGUUGGUGAGGUAACGGCUCACCAAGGCGACGACGGGUAGCCGGCCUGAGAGGGCGACCGGCCACACUGGGACUGAGACACGGCCCAGACUCCUACGGGAGGCAGCAGUGGGGAAUAUUGCACAAUGGGCGAAAGCCUGAUGCAGCGACGCCGCGUGAGGGAUGACGGCCUUCGGGUUGUAAACCUCUUUCAGCAGGGAAGAAGCGAAAGUGACGGUACCUGCAGAAGAAGCGCCGGCUAACUACGUGCCAGCAGCCGCGGUAAUACGUAGGGCGCAAGCGUUGUCCGGAAUUAUUGGGCGUAAAGAGCUCGUAGGCGGCUUGUCACGUCGGGUGUGAAAGCCCGGGGCUUAACCCCGGGUCUGCAUCCGAUACGGGCAGGCUAGAGUGUGGUAGGGGAGAUCGGAAUUCCUGGUGUAGCGGUGAAAUGCGCAGAUAUCAGGAGGAACACCGGUGGCGAAGGCGGAUCUCUGGGCCAUUACUGACGCUGAGGAGCGAAAGCGUGGGGAGCGAACAGGAUUAGAUACCCUGGUAGUCCACGCCGUAAACGUUGGGAACUAGGUGUUGGCGACAUCCACGUCGUCGUGCCGCAGCAGCAGAAGCAUU
rnacentral:rRNA from 2 species